AGGACGAACGCUGGCGGCGCGCUUAACACAUGCAAGUCGAGCGAGAACCGGGGCUUCGGCCCCGGGGACAGCGGCGAACGGGUGAGUAACACGUGGGUAAUCAACCCUCGGCACCGGGAUAGCCCGAGGAAACUCGGAUUAAUACCGGAUGGCCCCUCCGACUCUCGAGUCGGUCGGGAAAGGUAGCUUAGGCCUCUGGCCGGGGACGAGCCCGCGGCGGAUUAGCUUGUUGGUGGGGUAAUGGCCUACCAAGGCAACGAUCCGUAGCUGGUCUGAGAGGACGAUCAGCCACACUGGGACUGAGACACGGCCCAGACUCCUACGGGAGGCAGCAGUGGGGAAUCUUGCCCAAUGGGCGAAAGCCUGAGGCAGCGACGCCGCGUGGAGGGAAGAAGGCCUCGGUUGUAACCUCUUUCUAGGAGGACGAAGACUACUACGGUUAAGUAGCCAGAGGUGACGGUACCGUCCACGAAGAAGACCCGGAC
rnacentral:rRNA from 1 species